UACGUAGGGUCCGAGCGUUGUCCGGAAUUAUUGGGCGUAAAGAGCUCGUAGGCGGUCUGUCGCGUCGGCUGUGAAAUCCCGAGGCUCAACCUCGGGUCUGCAGUCGAUACGGGCAAACUGGAGUGUUGCAGGGGAGACUGGAAUUCCUGGUGUAGCGGUGAAAUGCGCAGAUAUCAGGAGGAACACCGGUGGCGAAGGCGGUUCUCUGGGCAUUACCUGACGCUGAGGAGCGAAAGUGUGGGGAGCGAACAGG
rnacentral:rRNA from 1 species